rnacentral:lncRNA from 1 species
GUUGCUCAGCUGCCGCGACACAUUUGGAGCAAAGCUUCUGCUUAUUUCCUUUGGCCGCACCUUAUAUUUGUUGUCUUUGUCAACAUCUGACCUGUUUCUGCCUUGUUGAAAGCAAGUGGCCACAAGUACUGCUUAGUUUGCUCAGUCUAAACCUGGUAGUGCAUCCAGUUUAGCGCCGUGCACAUGUGUGGGGCAUUUCCUUGUUCUUAUUGUGCUGAUGUGUCGUGUUGUACAUAGGAGGAAAGCCGGUCCUCCACAAUAUGGUUGUCAGUGUUGCUGAAUACAACACAGUCUUGCUGCCUUGACACGCCACAUCAUUUGACAUCUUGGGGUGAGGUGGCAUCUUGCUGCUCCUUGUGGUCAGGCAUAGCCAAGACUGCAGGUAGAGUCCGCACACAAAGUUCGAGGUUGAACUAUAGAACCAGCACGCCCAAUAAAUGUGUGUGCAAAUUUAGCUCUAAGCGUGAUUUAUGUCAGGAAUAAAGAUUCACAAAAGGGGCUUGGUCCAUGGCCAAGCAGAGUGAGCACGAACAACAACAACCGUCUUCUUUCACAUCCUUUGUUGGUGCCUGCCUUUGCCACUACAUAGUAAUUAAUUAGUAAUUAGUUUGCUAAGCUAUCCAUAACUGAGAACUCGAUCGAGCAUAGAAAGAAACAUGACUAUAGGCUCCUGUGUUUCUUAUGUUUAAAUCACAAUUUGUAGGUAUCAAACACAGCAUAGCAUAAAUGAUACAUUGGGCACUGCAACCCUGUGAUGUGCACAUUGAGUGCCUUUUCGCGUCUUCUUCAGAGGGUACUCGAGAUUUCUGGUUGGGUUGCCAUAGAUGUUUUAGCUCAGUGAAUCUUCCUUCCAAGGCAUUCAGUUUGUUAAAGUUAAGCCGCUAUAGAUGUGUCCUCAUUGUUCAGGUUACUUCUGGCGACACGACAACGUUCUUGUGGCUAUGAUGUGAUGCUUCAUGACACACAUGGUGCUCAAUUCUGAAUUAUUGUUGGCAUGCUUUUUCACAAAUGGUUUUAGUAAGAUGGUAAGAAUGGUUUUAGUAGCACAGGCGACGCAAAAUGAGCCACAGCAUAUGCUUUACCUCCAGCAUGUUCGUGAUCACCGAUGGCAUGUAAAACAGUGAUUCAGACCAAGCAUCGCAAAGAAUGAUUGUUGCCUUUCUUUCUUACAGGCUGCUGUGUUUCAGCUAAAUCUGCUUUUCCUGUGUCCAGUGGCCUUGUCGCUCAAUUAGUGCUUGCCAAUUUCCAUUACACUGCAACCCACUAAAAAUAUGAAAUUUUAGAAUAUGAUGCCUCCCCUCUCUUCCCUUGUCCUUCUGACCUUUCACUCUGCUGCAAGCUUUUAGAUUUCAAUGCUUAAAUGAUUAAUACAAACAUUGAUGCUACCAUAUUAUUUGAUGGCUAUCAUGAUGGCAAUAAUUUAGGUUAACCUGAAACUAAAUGA